GAUGAACGCUAGCUACAGGCUUAACACAUGCAAGUCGAGGGGAAACGACAUCGAAAGCUUGCUUUUGAUGGGCGUCGACCGGCGCACGGGUGAGUAACGCGUAUCCAACCUGCCCAUCACUUGGGGAUAACCUUGCGAAAGUAAGACUAAUACCCAAUGAUAUCUCUAGAAGACAUCUGAAAGAGAUUAAAGAUUUAUCGGUGAUGGAUGGGGAUGCGUCUGAUUAGCUUGUUGGCGGGGUAACGGCCCACCAAGGCAACGAUCAGUAGGGGUUCUGAGAGGAAGGGCCCCCACAUUGGAACUGAGACACGGUCCAAACUCCUACGGGAGGCAGCAGUGAGGAAUAUUGGUCAAUGAGCGAGAGCCUGAACCAGCCAAGUAGCGUGCAGGAAGACGGCCCUAUGGGUUGUAAACUGCUUUUAUAAGGGAAUAAAGUGAGAGUCGUGACUCUUUUUGUAUGUACCUUAUGAAAAAGGACCGGCUAAUUCCGUG
rnacentral:rRNA from 1 species